rnacentral:rRNA from 1 species
AUUGAACGCUGGCGGCAGGCCUAACACAUGCAAGUCGAGCGGAUGAAGAGAGCUUGCUCUCUGAUUUAGCGGCGGACGGGUGAGUAAUGCCUAGGAAUCUGCCUGGUAGUGGGGGAUAACGUCCGGAAACGGGCGCUAAUACCGCAUACGUCCUACGGGAGAAAGCAGGGGACCUUCGGGCCUUGCGCUAUCAGAUGAGCCUAGGUCGGAUUAGCUAGUUGGUGAGGUAAUGGCUCACCAAGGCGACGAUCCGUAACUGGUCUGAGAGGAUGAUCAGUCACACUGGAACUGAGACACGGUACAGACUCCUACGGGAGGCAGCAGUGGGGAAUAUUGGACAAUGGGCGAAAGCCUGAUCCAGCCAUGCCGCGUGUGUGAAGAAGGUCUUCGGAUUGUAAAGCACUUUAAGUUGGGAGGAAGGGCAGUAAGUUAAUACCUUGCUGUUUUGACGUUACCGACAGAAUAAGCACCGGCUAACUUCGUGCCAGCCGCCGCAGUAAUAC